rnacentral:lncRNA from 1 species
CCAUGCCUCCAUAACCACCACGCCCACCUGGUUCCACACCCCCUUGUUUUCAUAGUAAAAAGAGGCAACACGCAUUAUGAGAUGAGGCGUCCAAAUAGUUGGGCAUUGGAAGGAGUUUGACUCCCUAACCCAACUCCUUGUUGAGUUAGGCUUUAGGCUGAAACCAGGACUUCAAAUCUAUAAAUAGAGGGGCAUAGGUCCAAGGGUUGGAUCAUUGAAUAUUCUCCACACCA